CAAGCGUGAUGCAGCCAUGCCGCGUGUGUGAAGAAGGCCUUCGGGUUGUAAAGCACUUUCAGUCGUGAGGAAGGUGGUGUAGUUAAUAGCUGCAUUAUUUGACGUUAGCGACAGAAGAAGCACCGGCUAACUCCGUGCCAGCAGCCGCGGUAAUACGGAGGGUGCGAGCGUUAAUCGGAAUUACUGGGCGUAAAGCGCAUGCAGGUGGUUAGUUAAGUCAGAUGUGAAAGCCCGGGGCUCAACCUCGGAACUGCAUUUGAAACUGGCUGACUAGAGUACUGUAGAGGGGGGUAGAAUUUCAGGUGUAGCGGUGAAAUGCGUAGAGAUCUGAAGGAAUACCAGUGGCGAAGGCGGCCCCCUGGACAGAUACUGACACUCAGAUGCGAAAGCGUGGGGAGCAAACAGGAUUAGAUACCCUGGUAGUCCACGCCGUAAACGAUGUCUACUUGGAGGUUGUGGCCUUGAGCCGUGGCUUUCGGAGCUAACGCGUUAAGUAGACCGCCUGGGGAGUACGGUCGCAAGAUUAAAACUCAAAUGAAUUGACGGGGGCCCGCACAAGCGGUGGAGCAUGUGGUUUAAUUCGAUGCAACGCGAAGAACCUUACCUACUCUUGACAUCCAGAGAACUUAGCAGAGAU
rnacentral:rRNA from 1 species